GAUGAACGCUGGCGGCGUGCCUAAUACAUGCAAGUCGAGCGAACGGACGAGAAGCUUGCUUCUCUGAUGUUAGCGGCGGACGGGUGAGUAACACGUGGAUAACCUACCUAUAAGACUGGGAUAACUUCGGGAAACCGUAGCUAAUACCGGAUAAUAUUUUGAACCGCAUGGUUCAAAAGUGAAAGACGGUCUUGUCGUGACUGAUAGAUGGAUGCGCGCUGCAUUAGCUAGUUGGUAAGGUAACGGCUUAUCAAGGCAACGAUGGGUAGCCGACCUGAGAGGGUGACCGGCCACAUUGGGACUGAGAUACGGCCAAGACUGCUACGGGAGGGAGGAGUGGGGAAUAUUGAAAAAUGGGCGGAAGCAUGAUGCAGCAACGCCGGGUGCGGGAUGACGGCCGUCGGGUUGGAAACCGCUGGCGCCUGUGACGAAGCGUGAGUGACGGGAAUGGGUAAAGAAGCACCGGCUAACUACGUG
rnacentral:rRNA from 1 species